rnacentral:rRNA from 1 species
AAUAGUUUUUUAAAUGGAAACUGGGAUGAAUGAAUUGAUGAGAUUUAUACUAUCUUAAAUUAAAUAGUUAAAUUUAUUGAUUAAGUUAAAAUACUUAAAUAAUAGUAUGGGACGAGAAGACCCUAUAGAAUUUUAUAUAAAUUUAAUGAUGAAUGUAUUAAAGUAGAAAUUUAUUAGAUUUAUAUUUUGUUGGGAGGAUAGUUAAAUUAGGUAAACUUUAAAAAUAUAAUUCCAUAGAUAAAUGAAUUAAGAUAAGUAUAAGAAUAGUUAAAAAGUUUAAGUAGAAUUAAUUACCUUAGGGAUAACAGCGUUAUAUCUUUAGAGAGAUCGUAUUGAUAAAGAUGUUUGC